CUGUCCGCCCCUCCGAGGGCCCGGCGCCCCCGUCCCCGGCACGCGGCCCGGGGCGGCCCGGCGCCCACCCGCAGCCCGCCGGCCCGGGAAGUCCCGGGGUCGCGGCAGCUGUUUUCCGUGGAAGAAACUGGCGCGCUGCAGCAGGAGGGACUGUGUGGGAGGAUCGGCGUUCCCGGGAAAGGACGGCGGCUCGGCGCCAGCGGGCUGCGUUUGCCCGAGUGCCGCUGUGGCCUCGUGAGUCCCUGUCGGAGGCGCAGCUUCCUCUUCUGCAAAGCCAGCCUCAGCUGCCGCCGAGACCGUCUGCUGCACUCUUGAUAUACAGACCCGGUGGAGAAGCAGACAAGCUGGAUGUGAGAUCCCUGUCCUCAAGGAAUUUGCAGAGUGGUGAGGGAGACAGACCCACAGUCAACCAAACAGAUGAGGCAUCAUCGUCAUCAUCAUAACAGCUUGCAGGCCUAACUCCAAUUCUAACUCCUUCACGAAUUCGUCCAUGAAACCUUGCAUAAAUGGUCUCAAAAUAUAAGGUGCUGGCCGAGUCACGGAGCUGAACCAGACACAGUCUCUGCCCACCGCCUAGUGGGAGAGAUGAUUCGAAGACACAGCAGUGGUGGAGAGCAGACCGUGAUAACACAAAGCAGGACAGACGGAGGAGAAGAGACCAUUUCAACAGAGGACAGGUUUUCCCUUUGCUGAGAGCUGUUUAUUAGGCUUGUGUUUAGAGUGGGGUUUGGGGAGUGGGAGCUGAGGGGACCUUAAGAAAUCUUGCGGAUGGGGGAGUGAGGAGGUGGACCUAGCCAGGCUGGAGAGGCUCACCAAGGAGAUGGGCCCUGGGGAGACAGGAGCGAGGGGUCAGCUGGGUAAGGGGAGGACAUGUGAGGGAAGAGCUGCUUCAGUGGAAACGUUAGCAAGCUUUGCUUUGUGAUAUGUAAUGUCAUCUUCCUCCCUGUUCCUCUGAAAACUUCCGAAAAAUCUGUUACUCAGUAACAUUUGCAGGGCUUGGGCAUGAGUCAAAGGGGGCCUCAUACCGUAUGUCCACGUAUCUAAGAGUUAAAAAUCAAACUCACUCACUGUCAAAUAAAACAUGGUCUGUC